ACCGGGCGCGGGGCAGGCAGCGGGCGGCGGUCAGCAGCCAGCCGGGGGCGAUCAGGCUCCCGCCGCAGACGUGGCCGCUGCCGGCCCGCAGCGGGUCCUGGAUGCUCGCCAGCCCCGGCCAGGCCCCGGGAACCGCCCCGGAGCCACCGCCGAACUCCUCGGCCAUGGGCUGGAGACCGCAGGGACACGGAGACAGGGACCCCCGACACGGGGACAGGGACACAGGGACAAGGACACCGGGACAGUGACACCUCGACAAGGGGACAGGGACCCCCAGUGCCACACGUGUCCCCUUGGCGGUGCCAGAGGCCGGCACGAGCACGGGGCUGUCACCCCCCCCCGGGCUGUGGUGACCUCGAGGACCCUCGGGGACCUUGAGGACCCUCAGGGGACUCUGGGGACCCUCAGGGGACCCCCGGGACGCCCCGGCCGCGGGCAGGUGUCACCUACUCGCAGGAGUCCCAGGUGGCCCGGGAGAGCGCGGCCGUGGCCAGCAGGACCAGGAGCCACAGCGGAGCCAUGCUGGGGACAGCGGGACAGCGGCAGCGCCCCGCGGGUUCCCGAGGGUCCCCGAGGGUCCCGCCGGUCCCGGGGCUGACGUCACAGAGCGGCGGGACCGUCACAGAGCGGUGGAACGGCGGGGAGGGACAGGAACGGCCCGGGAGGCUCCGAGCCAGCCUCGGGCACUGCCAGGAACUCCCAUCCCAAAAUCCCCAUCCCAGAACUGCAUUCCCAAAAUCCCCAUCCCAAAAUACCCAUCCCAGAACUGCAUUCCCGAAAUCCCCAUCCCAAAAUCCGCAUCCCAGAAUUUCCAUCCCAGAAUUUCCAUCCCAGAGUCCCCAUCCCAAAAUCCCCAUCCCAAAAUCCUCAUCCCAAAAUUCCUAUCCCAAAAAUUCAAUCCCAAAAUUCCCAUGCCAGAAUUGCAUUCCCAAAAUUCCCAUUCCAAAAUCCUCAUCCCAAAAUUCCCAUCCCAAAAUUUCAGUUUUCACGCCAAAAUCAUUUUCAUCCCAAAAAUUCCUGUUUGUAAACAGGGGAAUAAAUUUUCUCAACAUAAAA